GAUGAACGCUGGCGGCGUGCCUAAUACAUGCAAGUCGAACGAACAGACGAGGAGCUUGCUCGUCUGACGUUAGCGGCGGACAGGUGAGUAGCACGUGGAUAACAUACCUCUAAGACUGGGAUAACUUCCGGAAACCGGAGCUAAUACCGGAUAAUAUAUUGAACCGCAUGGUUCAAGAGUGAGAGACGGAUUUGCUGUCACUUAUAGAUGGGUCCGCGCCGCAUUAGCUAGUUGGUAAGGUAACGGCUUAGCAAGGCAACGAUGCGUAGGCGACCUGAGGGGGGGAUCGGCCACACUGGAACUGAGACACGGUCCAGACUCCUACGGGAGGCAGCAGUAGGGAAUCUUCCGCAAUGGGCGGAAGCCUGACGGAGCACCGCCGCGUGAGUGAAGAAGGUCUUCGGAUCGUAAAGUGCUGUUAUUUGGGAAGAACAAAUGUGUAAGUAACUAUGCGCGUCUUGACGGUACCUAAACAGAAAGCCCCGGCUAACUACGUG
rnacentral:rRNA from 1 species